GCGCCAUUAGCUCAAUUGGUAGAGCAAAUGACUCUUAAUCAUUAGGUUGAAGGUUCGAGUCCUUCAUGGCGCACCA
rnacentral:tRNA from 1 species